rnacentral:rRNA from 1 species
AUUGAACGCUGGCGGCAGGCUUAACACAUGCAAGUCGAGCGAGCGGCGGACGGGUGAGUAAUGUCUGGGAAACUGCCUGAUGGAGGGGGAUAACUACUGGAAACGGUAGCUAAUACCGCAUACCAACCGAGGUGGCCAGAUGGGAUUAGCUAGUGGGUGGGGUAAGGGCUGACCUAGGCGACGAUCCCUAGCGGGUCUGAGAGGAUGACCAGCCCAUCUUGAACUGAGACACGGUCCAGACUCCUACGGGAGGCAGCAGUGGGGAAUAUUGCACAAGGGGCGCAAGCCUGAUGCAGCCAUGCCGCGUGUGUGAAGAAGGCCUUCGGGUUGUAAAGCACUUUCAGCGAGGAGGCGUUACUCGCAGAAGAAGCACCGGCUAACUCCGUGCCAGCAGCCGCGGUAAUAC